UACGGGGGGAGCAAGCGUUGUUCGGAUUUACUGGGCGUAAAGGGCGCGUAGGCGGCGCGACAAGUCACUUGUGAAAUCUCUGGGCUCAACCCAGAACGGUCAAGUGAUACUGUCGUGCUAGAGUGCGGAAGGGGCAACUGGAAUUCUUGGUGUAGCGGUGAAAUGCGUAGAUAUCAAGAGGAACACCCGUGGCGAAGGCGGCUCUCUGGGACGGUACUGACGCUGAGACGCGAAAGCGUGGGGAGCGAACAGG
rnacentral:rRNA from 1 species